rnacentral:lncRNA from 13 species
CAGGUGUUCUCUGAAGUUCUCAGGUGCAGUGUAACCUUUAGAAUAUUUUGUCUCACAGGAUGGAGAGGAUAGAGGAAGAGGAUACUUUACAGGAGUGAGAGGACAUCAUUCUCAAGUAUGAGAAGGGACACCGAGCUGGGCUGCCAGCAGACAUGGAGCUUGAGCCUGUGGAAAUCCACAACCGCACGGAUCGGUUUAGAAUUGUGCAAGGAGUUGUCCGUGCUCCCCUCAGCCCCUAAAGCACUUGUCUCAGCUCAGAGGUUGUGUGGCUCGGCUGCAGGGAGAAGCAGGUGGACGCUGGAAGGUCAGAGCCUGCGAGGGCCUUGGGCGUAUAGGGUUCAAUGGGUCCCGGG